UACGUAGGGGGCAAGCGUUGUCCGGAAUCAUUGGGCGUAAAGCGCGCGUAGGCGGCCCGGUAAGUCCGUUGUGAAAGUCAAAGGCUCAACCUUUGAACGCCGAUGGAUACUGCCGGGCUGGAGUCCGGAAGAGGCGAGUGGAAUUCCUGGUGUAGCGGUGAAAUGCGCAGAUAUCAGGAGGAACACCAAUUGCGAAGGCAGCUCGCUGGGACGUUACUGACGCUGAGACGCGAAAGCGUGGGGAGCAAACAGG
rnacentral:rRNA from 1 species